GACGCACCCGCGCAGCGCAGCAGGCUGGACGGUCUAAACUCAUAGAGCACGCCCCACCCCACCCCCACUCCCACCCCAAACUUUUCUUGUACUGUUCAGGUUUCCACCUUCAACAGCUGCGUGACCGCAAUUCAGCAGAAGCGGCAUAGAGCCACACUGGGAAGAGCUUGGCCUGUUGAACUGCCUGCAGCUGGAAGGAAAAGAGAGCAAAGCAGCCGGGCAGCGGCGGGGAGGGAAGGUAGCUGGCAACUCUGAGUGAAAGUGAAUUAAUAUUUUACCAGGACUUGCGUUAACCUGGCUAUCGAAAAUCCGCUCCGCACGUGUUCAGAGAGACCGCUGCCUCCGAAGGAGGAAAGAGUCCAAAAGUGCCAUUGCCAUAUAGUAUAGAAGAGUGCGCAAUUCUGUGGCAUGUUUAGAGAGAAGUAUGUAAGGAGGCUUCAUUCGAUUCAGAAUCCUUUGUAGCGGAAGAAUAUCCAUGCUGCCACUCUUUCAUGUGUGGCUUAUAACUGUUAGGACAUCGUUCGUGAAGAUGGCCGCCAUGGCAAAAAGAACAAACCUCAUUAUCGCAGUUGAACCAGUGUUAUUAUAGCCCAGAUGAGUACAGAACUUGUAUCUCAAUGUGAGAACAUCCUACAUUUUGCUAUAGGAAUUCCAUACAAUCACAAACACUGAUCCCUUGGUUUGAACAAAUAAAAAUGGAGAUAACAGCUGUGAAAAACUUAACACUAUAAGAGCCUUCAUCUGCCUUUUGGUUACUGGCAACACUGACUGGAGACAGCACUAUCAAAAUCUACAGUUUGUACAAUUUGUCUGGCUAUGCUUUAGUGGGCAUUUGAAGUCCAGCUGCAAAUAGGAACUGCUUAAUGAUGUUAAAGUCCAGCAAG